rnacentral:lncRNA from 1 species
AGAUUUUUCAGGAUUGGCUUACUGAAACCACGUGAUUUACAAUGCCUAUAUUAGAACACUGAAUUUAAAUGAUCAGACUGCGAAGGUACUGGUUGACUGUGGUUAUUGAAGCCAUGAAAAGCAAAACGCUGCAUAAAGGGAGACCAUCACGUCUAACUAGCCUUCUUCAGGAUUCCCACUGAGUGAACUGGAUCUUGCUACAACUAUUGAAAGCUUAAAGAUCUUUAGAAUUGUAGGACUGGUCUGCAGUAUGGCAGAAAUUUGCAGCCUCUGUUCUCAGUUUCCUAUCUUUCUGGGUCAAGAAUACAGUUUAAGGUAAAAGACUGGAGUUGCUUAAGAAGGCAGGAAGAUAGUGACUUUAAGGACCUAGAGGAGAAGAUUUUGGAUUUUGCCUAUUUUACCCAUGGAAAAAGCACAGAAAAUAUUCCCUCUUCCAGACUGAAUGACAGAAGCUCCUAGAAAAAGUUUCAUAGAAAGCAUAGGUUCUUGCAAUAAAGUUCCCCUGCUGGAUGACAG